rnacentral:lncRNA from 1 species
AUAUCAUUUAGCGACUUGCCAUUCAUGCCACCAACCAGGUGAAGAAGGAACUCAUCCUCAUGCCACCAACCAGGUGAUGAAAUGUGACAAAGGGUGAUGAAGGAACUCACAUUCGUACUACCAACCAAGUGAUGAAAGCAACUCACCAUUCAUUCCACCUACCAGAAGACGAGUGGUACAACUUGUACAUGUGAACUCCUAGCAUUCACAAAUAAUCAAAAACCCUCAAGCUUGACAACUCAACUAGGGGAGCACUUAUGCCCAACAAGAGCUUCAUCAAAUGAGUUCAACCACAAUUCUCAAAAGCUUCACACUCUUGAUCAAGAUAGUGUGAAGUAAAACUAAUCUAUGGUGCCAACAAGAGCUUCAUCAAAGGAGUUCAACCAUAAUUCUCAAAAGCUUCACACACUUUUGAUCAAGAUAGUGUGAAGCAAAACCAAUUUAUGGUGCCAACAAGAGCUUCAUCAAUGGAGUGCAACCACAAUUCUCAAAAGCUUCACACUCUUAAUCAAGACAGUGUGAAGCAAAACCAAUUUAUGGUGCCAACAAAAGCUUCAUCAAAGGAAUUCAACCACAAUUCUCAAAAGCUUCACACACUCUUGAUCAAGACAAUGUGAAGCAAAACCAAUUUAUGGUGCUAACAAGAGCUUCAUCAAUAGAGGUCAAUCACAAUUCUCAAAAGCUUCACACACUAUUGAUCAAGAUAGUGUGAAGCAAAACCAAUUUAUGGUGCCAACAAGAGCUUCAUCAAAGGAGUUCAACCACAAUUCUCAAAAGCUUCACACACUCUUGAUCAAGACAGUGUAAAGCAAAAUCAAUUUAUGGUGCCAACAAGAGCUUCAUCAAUGGAGGGCAACCACAAUUCUCAAAAGCUUCACACAUUCUUGAUCAAGACAUUGUGAAGCAAAACCAAUUUAUGGUGCCAACAAAAGCUUCAUCAAAAGAGUUCAACCACAAUUCUCAAAAGCUUCACACACUCUUGAUCAAGACAAUGUAAAGCAAAACCAAUUUAUAAUGCCAACAAGAGCUUCAUUAAUGGAAGGCAACCACAAUUCUCAAAAGCUUCACACACUCUUGAUCAAGAUAGAGUGAAGCAAAACCAAUUUAUGGUGCCAACAAGAGCUUCAUUAAUGGAGGGCAACCACAAUUCUCAAAAGCUUCACACACUUUUGAUCAAGACAGUGUGAAGCAAAACCAAUUUAUGGUGCCAACAAAAGCUUCAUCAAUAGAGGGCAACUAUAAUUCUCAAACCUUCAAAGCAAAUUCAAGACUAUUCGAAGCAAAUUCAAUUUAUAUGGUUCAUCCAAACAUUCGAUUACUACAAGGUGUGGCUUGCAUCACAAUCUCUUGCUCAACAGUGUGGAAGCAAAAUUUGUAUAUGUUGUAUCUCCCACAUUUUCAAAUUUCUAGUUUCCCAAAAAAAAAAAGGAAAAUUCAACAAAGCUUCAUCAAUGGAGGACAACUACAAAUUCUCAAAAGCUUCAAACUAUCUUGAUCAAGAUAGUGUGAAGCAAAAUCAAUUCGUGGUACCCAACAAAGCUUCACCAUAAAAGUUUCACCAACAAAAGCUUCAUCAAUGGAGGACAACUACAAAUUCUC